GGGGGUGACUGGUUUCGACAGGGUGCAUCUGAGAUGGGCAGCAGGCCGUGGUCUCCUCGCCACGUAAAACAGGGGAACCGUCAAAUUGAAUUGACGACAAUUCUUCUUACGAGCCUCAGCUGGCUCUCGCUGCUUAGUCUUAACUAACCAGCGCGUCAAACCGGGGGUCUCUCCCGCUCCCGGGGCGGCGUCAUUCUAGGGAGACGCUCGCGCGGAUGUAGUCGGUAUGCCGCGCGCUAAGACCAAACCGGCUGGGAGGCUAAGCGCGGGCUACCGGGUGCGCGGCCUCCAAGACUUAACCGGCAGCUGAGCCUGGAGACACCUGUCAGGGACGUGCUUUGGACCGGAGUUCGAUUCUCCGCACCUCCACCA
rfam:Olsenella scatoligenes strain SK9K4 contig_5, whole genome shotgun sequence.